rnacentral:rRNA from 1 species
UACGUAGGUGGCAAGCGUUGUCCGGAUUUACUGGGCGUAAAGAGCGCGCAGGCGGUCGUUCAAGUCGGGGGUGAAAGCCCCCGGCUCAACUGGGGAGGGUCACGCGAUACUGAUCGACUGGAAGGCAGGAGAGGGUAGUGGAAUUCCCGGUGUAGUGGUGAAAUGCGUAGAUAUCGGGAGGAACACCAGUGGCGAAGGCGACUACCUGGCCUGUUCUUGACGCUGAGGCACGAAAGCGUGGGGAGCAAACAGG